GAUCCUGGCUCAGGACGAACGCUGGCGGCGUGCUUAACACAUGCAAGUCGAACGAGAAUCUGUGGAUCGAGGAUUCGUCCAAGUGAAGCAGAGGACAGUGGCGGACGGGUGAGUAACGCGUGAGGAACCUGCCUUUCAGAGGGGGACGAACAGUUGGAAACGACUGCUAAUACCGCAUGAUACAUUUGGGUGGCAUCAUCUGAAUGUCAAAGAAUUUAUCGCUGAAAGAUGG
rnacentral:rRNA from 1 species